rnacentral:rRNA from 1 species
UAUUGCCAGCGCUUAAUUGCGCGGCGAUAAACCUUACACACAUUGUCUAGUUUUUUUGAACUUUGCUUUGGGUGCAUCAGCCUAGCUGCGUGCCCAAAGGUCUAAACACAUUUUUUUAAUGUUAAAACCUUUAACCAAUAGUCAUGAAAAUUUUUAACAAAAAUUAAAAUCUUCAAAACUUUCAACAACGGAUCUCUUGGUUCUCGCAACGAUGAAGAACGCAGCGAAAUGCGAUACGUAUUGUGAAUUGCAGAUUUUCGUGAAUCAUCGAAUCUUUGAACGCACAUUGCACCCUCUGGUAUUCCAGAGGGUAUGCCUGUUUGAGCGUCAUUUCUCUCUCAAACCUUCGGGUUUGGUAUUGAGUGAUACUCUGUCAAGGGUUAACUUGAAAUAUUGACUUAGCAAGAGUGUACUAAUAAGCAGUCUUUCUGAAAUAAUGUAUUAGGUUCUUCCAACUCGUUAUAUCAGCUAGGCAGGUUUAGAAGUAUUUUAGGCUCGGCUUAACAACAAUAAACUAAAAGUUUGACCUCAAAUCAGGUAGGACUACCCGCUGAACUUAAGCAUAUCAAUAGCCGGGAGGAA